CUGUAUUGUUUGUAUAACCACUCACAAUUCUAUCUAGCUAAAUUGUACUGUAGUCUAACUAAAUAGAAUAAACAGAUGAAAAGUUGUUCAGAUAUAUUAAAGAUGCUAACUGUAGUAUGGCUCAACUUAAUGCUUGAUAGUUCACUUGGUAGUGAUUACAUGUGCACAUUGAAAGAGACUCAAUCUAUUCCUUUUGUACAAUAUGAUAAGACCAUUACAUGUAUAGAAAAGGUCAGUUAUGCUUUAUAUGAUUAACUAUUGAAACAGGUAUCAUAAGACUAUUGUUUGAAAUAAAUCAUUUAUUGAAAAUUCAAAGAAAGAUUGAGCUCACUUUCCAUUUUUAGAUUUGAUAUUUUAUUAUGUUCUGUAUUAUGUAUUGUAGAUAACAAUGUUUUAUUAGUUGGCUUAUGUGAAUUAAGUACCAGUAUAGUACCAUUUGGCAAUAGCUUAUAAAUAAAUCAUUUGGAGGUCACUAUGUCACUAAUCAGGUUCCAAGGAAAAGCACAAGGAGACAAAAUUCAGCAGGCAAUCUCAGGUCGGAAGGUGAUCUGAAACAGGAAAAUGUUUACCCUGUCAAACAAGGGUCGCCACGUGUGAGUUUUGUAUCCAACCUUGACCUAUGAACUCUGACUUGUUUGACCUCCUUUCAUCUAAUAUUUUCAUUUUCAAAGUUCCUUUUAACAAGCAUUCUUAUAAAUCUAUUGUCUUUAAUCAUUAAUUAUGGUUUAUAAAUGAAAAAAAAAUGUGAAAAACUAUUUGAUUCAUAAAUACUUCUUUUAUAG
rnacentral:misc_RNA from 1 species